GCAGCCAAUACAAUCCAAAACGAGUACUAAUAUAAUAUGUACAAACUUCCUUCAUACGACUUAUAACCGAUUUAUUAGCAUCUCUUUUUUUAUCUGACACACAUUUUCUAUAUUUCCAAAUAUAUAUUUUUAAAAUUAUUGAAUGAACUGAAACGAACCUCUAGAGAGGCCAACGAAUGAACGUUUUCUUCAAUUAGUAACAUCGUACGUCAGUCAGCCACAGCGCCAUGUACAGCCUCAUCAUCGCCCUCACUGUCACACUCGCCGGCCUUGAUAUUACGACGAGCCAAUCUAUUGCUAGAGAGCCACCACUUCUGCGGCAGUUCGCCGACGUCACGACGCAGUUCCCGCGCAUUGCCCCGCUGGGCGACAGCAGCACCGGUGACUGCGGUAAUCGCGACAUCGCGGAGUGCGUGGAAUUGCUCGAAGCUCUCACGAAUAAGGACAUCGGCUUCGCUGCUUCGCGGGAAGAGCUGAACAAUAUGUGUCCAGUGCUGCUCUCAGGGCUGCAGUGUAUCGACAACUACACACUGCGCUGCCUGUCUCCGCAGCACAGAAGUUACUUCAACAAGCUGUACAACGGCACGAUGCUUGUCAUCCGGGACCUCUGCACCUCUCGGGGAGGCCGCUACCAGCAAGAAUACAUCAGGCAUGCCCCGUGCAUGCGACAAGUGAACCCCAAGUACAACCGCUGCUCUGAAGUCUACCACCGCAAGACGGCCGGGCUUAACCAGGCUGUGGUGAGGCUCAGCGAGCGCGACAAGGCCAGGAAUGUCAUCACCCUCUGUUGCUCGUUCCAAGAGUACCUGCAGUGCGCGGAGCAAGUGGUGUUCGAGUCGUGCGGUAACGAGACGGCGCUCUUCACCAAGAACUUCCUCAACAGAAUGGCUGGUCCCAUCGUACAGGAUAUUUGCACAAUAGUGAAUUUUCAAGCCAGCGACUGUACUGCAUCUUCCCAGCUAGACCAUGCCAUGCAGGCUUCUGGUGCGCCAUCAAGCAUGUUAGACGGCACAGAAAUCAAUCGACCCGUAGAGUUUUGGCGGCCUAGAGGGAGGGUGUCGUCUAUUAAAGCACACGAAAAUAAUAUAGAAUUGAGGCCUACAAACAGCCUACUUAGACGGCAACAUGGUGACAUCGGAACCCUUCAGUUUUAUAACAGUUUCGGUUCUCCUACCCCAUCUUUAUCACCCUAUUCUCCGCGACCUGAAGUGAAUAAGAGCCAGCGAAGAUUGAGUCCAGAUUUUCAGUUCAUCGGUUUCCGGAAUGGUUCUCGGGUUUAUCGGAGACUUCGAAAACCAGCACAAAGUCUGAGCGUCGGUCGAGAAAACCUACAGACUCCUGAUGAUUCAGAGAGAUUAUUUGGUGGAAGACAUGCAGGGAUACGUGGUCCCCAAGGCAGGCGAUUGAUUAAACUAAGACGUACAACAGGAGCACCGCUACUGAUAACCAAUGAGGCACCCAGCGGGAAUCUUACAAUUAAAUCUGGAAACACUUCUCCGUCACCACGAGCUCGUCAGCGACUUCAAUUAUAUGAGUCUGCUGCUGCGCGAAACCUUGAUGAAUUUGGUCCUUCAUUACUCAGAAGAACGCGUUCACAAAUUAAAAAACAGUUUUUAAUGCCGGUGAGUUUACCGGGUAAAAAUUCUCCAUCUGAGGCUGUGACAUCUGCUAAUUCUACAACUGAAUCUCAUAAUAAACUUCUGGAUAGAUUGCGUCGUUUGAGGUUACUAAAGAGAAUAAGGAAUAUAGCACGGAGGAAGAAAGAAAAUCAACGUAGUAUUUUUAACACACUUUUAAGGAAGCUCGCUCGUGAUGCAUUGCGUUACGCGUAUAUGACAACUCACUCGUCGAAUGGAACUUCGCAGCAAUCAGGCGUAGCUGCGCAAGUUGAUGCAGUCGAAGCCAAGGGAUCGACUGAGGACCUCACCGAGUAUGACUAUGAAAAUCUAUUUGAUGAGAUAGGUAUACUAUCAAAUGAUUCUUUGACAGCACAAGAAAAAUAUCUCGCUCUGUUGAGGUUGAAUUUAAUGACUAACCUCGAAGAAGCUGUAAUACCAACCCAUGUCGGCACCUCGUUUCACACUUCAUCUCAAGAGAAUAUAGACUCAUUGCAACCACUGAUGAUCAACUUUGUCGACACUGACUUCAUUUCUCCUAUUCAAAUGAAUGUCUCCUCUUGGCUGGAGAGAGAAUUGACUGCCAGUGGGGUUGAUGUCGAAAAUAUUUGGCUUAUGGGGAAUAUUUCGGAUGACAUGAGAACAGCAGACGUAGAAUUUGGUGAAAUUCUGAACGUCACAAACUCACUAUUUGAUAGUAACUUUCGGAUGCAAUCAUCAUCCAAUUUUGAUAACUUUAUUAAAAAUAUAUCCCUGUACGAUGAGUCGAAAUCAAUGAAAAAACUGUCCACAAAUUUGGAAAACUCGAGUGAACAUGUAAACGUUGAUUCCUCGAUUAAUACUAAAACUACACACAAUAUCGAUGACUCAUUAGAAGGAGAUUUGCGCUCCAUAAAUAUAAGUUUGAUGUCAAACUCCAUAACUAUGAACAAAAAACAUUUGAUUAAUACUUCUAGUGGAGAUGAAAACUUCGAGAUUCAAUUUGUUCACUCAAACGAAGACAAUUUUAUUGGCCAGCACUUAUCCGAAGCUUCAAGGAUUCAAAGGAACGAAAGCACCGCGAUGAAUUUUGUCCCAAUAAAUAAAUCCACAAGUUCAUCUAGGCCAACGUUUGAACCUCCAGUUUUCAGUCCUGAAACUCCGAAAAAAAGUUCAUUGGUUGAAACUCUUCAUAGAAAAUUAUCUAAUGACAACCUUACAAGAUCGGAAAUUAAAAUUAACGAUAAUUACAAACGAUCUUGGGGAAAUGAAAGUGUUGCUAGUAGCUCAGACUCGGGGAUUCACGUUCAGGGAUCCAACGAAAAUUUUCCUGGAGAAUUAUACGAAGAACAAAACUUCACAUCUGGAGCAAUUCGUGGAAAAGACAAAAAUUACGACCUCUUUAUCGAUCAACUUCACGAGCAAAAUAGCAAGGGAUUUGUUCACGAGAUCAAUGGAGCUGAUCUCAAGCUAUUGCCAGUGCCGAUGGUUACCUUAAUCAUCAGUAUGCACUUAAUAAUGUGAAUAAUAAUGGUAGUAACAUGAAGUUCCUGCCAAGUUUAAGUGAAAAAAUAACACUGCAAUAAGUUACGAGUUCCUGGCUGGUUUGGUCUUUGUACGAACUUAGCAACAAUUUUUUUUAGUUUUUUAAAUCUGUAAAACCGAGUGAGGAUGUAUGUAAAUAAAAUGAAAAUAUUAGGGCAAUAAAAUGAAAACUAACAGAAACAAGUUUUCUGACAUUGCUAACAGUGAAGCCCAGUCUGCUCAUUAAUGAUGUCGCACCUGCCAUGGACCAACAUCCGAGCUUGUGUGACGCUCAGACUAAAUGCAUCCAGUACGAGCCUGGCACCCACAUGUGCAACCUCAUCAACUCUGCGCCUGC
rnacentral:misc_RNA from 1 species